GACGAACGCUGGCGGCGUGCCUAAUACAUGCAGGUAGAACGCACAGUUUAUACCUUAGCUUGCUACACCAUAGACUGUGAGUUGCGAACGGGUUAGUAACGCGUAGGUAUCCUUCCUGGUAGCGGUGGAUAACUAUUGGAAACGAUAGCUAAUACCUCAUAAUAUUAAUUAUUGCAUGAUAAUUAAUUGAAAGUUUCAAUUUCACCACUACCAGAUGGACUUGAGUUGUAUUAGCUAGUAGGGGAGGUAACGGCUCACCUAGGCGACGAUACAUAGCAGACCUGAGAGGGUGGUCGGCCAAACUGGGAAUGAGACAAGGCCCAGAAUGCUACGGGAGGCAGCAGUAGGGAAACUUCAGCAAUGGACGAAAGACUGACCGAGAAACGCCGAGUGAGUGAAGAAGGUUUUCGGAUCGUAAAGAACUGUUGUAAGAGAAGAACGGGUGUGAGAGUGGAAAGUUCACAGAGUGACGGUAUCUAACAAGAAAGGGACGGCUAACUACGUG
rnacentral:rRNA from 1 species